rnacentral:rRNA from 1 species
GACGGAGGGGGCAAGCGUUGUCCGGACUCACUGGGCGUAAAGGGUGCGUAGGCGGUCUUGUGCGUCGCACUGAAAUCACACGGCUCAACCGUGUGGCGCGUGCCGAUACGACGAGACUUGAGGCUCUGAGAGGGUGGCGGAAUUCCUGGUGUAGCGGUGAAAUGCGCAGAUAUCAGGAGGAACACCGGUGGCGAAGGCGGGUCUCUGGGCAGUAACUGACGCUGAGGAGCGAAAGCGUGGGGAGCGAACAGG